rnacentral:lncRNA from 1 species
CCAUAAUAUCCUCCAUUUAGCUUUUAUUUUAAAUGCCCAAUUUGGAUUAAUCAAAUGUCUAGAAUACCCCUAAUCAAGUGGGCUAAGUAUUGGAUUGUAUUUUAUUUUCUUUGGGCUUCUCCUUUAAUUGUUUUGGGCUAUGUACUAAACAUAGUCUAGCAAUUUUAAUAAUGUUACCCAAUUUGAUUAUUUAGGGCUUCCAUUUCCAAUCAUAUGAAGUUUAAUUACUUAUACAUGUGAUUUUAUCUCAUAACCUAAUU